CCUACGGGUGGCAGCAGUGGGGAAUAGUGCACAAUGGGGGAAACCCUGAUGCAGCGACGCCGCGUGAGUGAAGAAGUAAUUCGUUAUGUAAAGCUCUAUCAGCAGGGAAGAAAAGGACGGUACCUGAGGAAGAAGCCCCGGCUAACGACGUGCCAGCAGCCGCGGUAAUACGGAGGGGGCAAGCGUUAUCCGGAUUUACGGGGGGUAAAGGGAGCGUAGACGGGAGGGCAAGUCUGGAGUGAAAGGCGGGGGCGCCACCCCCGGACUGCUCGGGAAACGGUACGGCUGGAGUGCAGGAGAGGUCAGUGGAAUUCCUUUUGUAGCGGUUAAUGGCG
rnacentral:rRNA from 1 species